GAGGGCGGGUAGCAAUACCCGACCGGCGAACGGGUGCGUAACACGUGAGCGACCGACCCUAGGUGUGGGGGAUAGCCGGCCCAACGGCCGGGUAAUACCGCAUACGCUCUUCGGGCUGCAUGGCCUGGAGAGGAAAUCCUUCGGGAGCACUAGGACGGGCUCGCGGCCUAUCAGCUAGUUGGCGGGGUAACGGCCCACCAAGGCAUCGACGGGUAGCUGGUCUGAGAGGAUGGCCAGCCACAUUGGGACUGAGAAACGGCCCAGACUCCUACGGGAGGCAGCAGUGGGGAAUAUUGCGCAAUGGCCGAGAGGCUGACGCAGCGACGCCGCGUGUGAGAUGAAGCUCUUACGGGGUGUAAACCACUGUUGCCCGGGACGAACGGGAGGAUCAAUCCUCCGUGACGGUACCGGGUGAGGAAGCACCGGCUAACUCCGUG
rnacentral:rRNA from 1 species